UACGUAGGGUGCAAGCGUUAAUCGGAAUUACUGGGCGUAAAGCGUGCGCAGGCGGUUUUGUAAGUCUGAUGUGAAAUCCCCGGGCUCAACCUGGGAAUUGCAUUGGAGACUGCAAGGCUAGAAUCUGGCAGAGGGGGGUAGAAUUCCACGUGUAGCAGUGAAAUGCGUAGAGAUGUGGAGGAACACCGAUGGCGAAGGCAGCCCCCUGGGUCAAGAUUGACGCGCAUGCACGAAGGCGUG
rnacentral:rRNA from 1 species